rnacentral:rRNA from 1 species
GAUGAACGCUGGCGGCGUGCCUAAUACAUGCAAGUCGAGCGAAUGGAUUAAGAGCUUGCUCUUAUGAAGUUAGCGGCGGACGGGUGAGUAACACGUGGGUAACCUGCCCAUAAGACUGGGAUAACUCCGGGAAACAGGGGCUAAUACCGGAUAACAUUUUGAACCGCAUGGUUCGAAAUUGAAAGGCGGCUUCGGCUGUCACUUAUGGAUGGACCCGCGUCGCAUUAGCUAGUUGGUGAGGUAACGGCUCACCAAGGCAACGAUGCGUAGCCGACCUGAGAGGGUGAUCGGCCACACUGGGACUGAAACACGGCCCAAACUCCUACGGGAGGCAGCAGUAGGGAAUCUUCCGCAAUGGACGAAAGUCUGACGGAGCAACGCCGCGUGAGUGAUGAAGGCUUUCGGGUCGUAAAACUCUGUUGUUAGGGAAGAACAAGUGCUAGUUGAAUAAGCUGGCACCUUGACGGUACCUAACCAGAAAGCCACGGCUAACUACGUGCCAGCCGCCGCCGUAA